GUGGGGAAUAUUGGACAAUGGGCGAAAGCCUGAUCCAGCCAUGCCGCGUGUGUGAAGAAGGUCUUCGGAUUGUAAAGCACUUUAAGUUGGGAGGAAGGGCAGUAAGUUAAUACCUUGCUGUUUUGACGUUACCGACAGAAUAAGCACCGGCUAACUUCGUGCCAGCAGCCGCGGUAAUACGAAGGGUGCAAGCGUUAAUCGGAAUUACUGGGCGUAAAGCGUGCGUAGGUGGUUUUGUAAGUUGGAGGUGAAAUCCCCGGGCUCAACCUGGGAACUGCCUACAAAACUGCAUGACUAGAGUACGGUAGAGGGUAGUGGAAUUUCCUGUGUAGCGGUGAAAUGCGUAGAUAUAGGAAGGAACACCAGUGGCGAAGGCGACUACCUGGACUGAUACUGACACUGAGGUGCGAAAGCGUGGGGAGCAAACAGGAUUAGAUACCCCAGUAGUCC
rnacentral:rRNA from 1 species